rnacentral:pre_miRNA from 1 species
UUUUCAGCAUAAGUAUGUCUUAUGCAAUAUUUGGGAUAUAAUUAUGCAAAAA